rnacentral:misc_RNA from 1 species
CCUAGAUAGAUGGAAUGUGAGUGUUCACACAGAUUGUCUGAUGAAAUAGCGCGUAAAACCAAUCUAAGAUUGACUGAAGAGCUUGAAGUCCCCUUCGUCUAGAGGCCUAGGACAUCGCCCUUUCACGGCGGUAACAGGGGUUCGAAUCCCCUAGGGGACGCCACUUUAGUAAUUUAGAAAGGCGGUGCAUCACCCUUUUAGUGUUGUGCACUGUUUGUGCUUUACGCAAUAAUGAUUAAACCAAUUUAGUGAGUUGGUUUACUAAUAAUGCUCUUUAACAAUCUGGAACAAGCUGAAAAUUGAAACACACAUUAUUGAAAAAAUAGUGUGGGGAACUCUCAAACUCCAAUUUGAAGUGUUAUUCAAAUAGGCAGACGAAUGGCAUGAGCGAGCAGGGUGAAAUUUGCGGCGUAGGUGCGCAGUCAGCGCAGUGUACAUAAGUACGUGAGCAUGACGAGUACCGCACAACAAAAAAUUUCGCACGGCGCAGCCAUGGCGCUUCCGUAUUAUUUGAUAAGAGACACCUUCGGGUUGUGA